AGAGUUUGAUCAUGGCUCAGGAUGAACGCUGGCGGUAUGCCUUAUACAUGCAAGUCGUACGAGAGUUUUUAACUCAAGUGGCGGACGGGUGAGUAACACGUAAGAAUGUGCCUUUAGGGGGGGGAUAACAACUGGAAACGGUUGCUAAUACCCCAUAUGCUUUCGAGUGAAAUGGAUUUCCGCCUAAAGAGAAGCUCGCGGCUGAUUAGCUUGUUGGUAAGGUAAUGGCUUACCAAGGCGACGAUCAGUAUCUGGUUUGAGAGGACGAUCAGACACACUGGAACUGAGACACGGUCCAGACUCCAACGGGAGGCAGCAGUGGGGAAUCUUCCGCAAUGGGCCAAAGCCUGACGGAGCAAUACCGCGUGAAGGAAGACGGCCUAUGGGUUGUAAACUUCUUUUCUCAGGGAGGAACUCAAUGACGUGUACCUGAGGAAUAAGCAUCGGCUAACUCCGUGCCAGCAGCCGCGGUAAGACGGAGGAUGCAAGUGUUAUCCGGAAUCACUGGGCGUAAAGCGUCUGUAGGUGGUUUAAUAAGUCAACUGUUAAAUCUUGAGGCUCAACCUCAAAAUCGCAGUCGAAACUAUUAGACUAGAGUAUAGUAGGGGUAAAGGGAAUUUCCAGUGGAGCGGUGAAAUGCGUAGAGAUUGGAAAGAACACCGAUGGCGAAGGCACUUUACUGGGCUAUUACUAACACUCAGAGACGAAAGCUAGGGUAGCAAAUGGGAUUAGAUACCCCAGUAGUCCUAGCUGUAAACAAUGGAUACUAGAUGUUGAACAGAUCGACCUGUGCAGUAUCAAAGCUAACGCGUUAAGUAUCCCGCCUGGGAAGUAUGCUCGCAAGAGUGAAACUUAAAGGAAUUGACGGGGGCCC
rnacentral:rRNA from 1 species